GCGGCGGACGGGUGAGUAAUGCCUAGGAAUCUGCCUGAUAGUGGGGGACAACGUUUCGAAAGGAACGCUAAUACCGCAUACGUCCUACGGGAGAAAGCAGGGGACCUUCGGGCCUUGCGCUAUCAGAUGAGCCUAGGUCGGAUUAGCUAGUUGGUGAGGUAACGGCUCACCAAGGCGACGAUCCGUAACUGGUCUGAGAGGAUGAUCAGUCACACUGGAACUGAGACACGGUCCAGACUCCUACGGGAGGCAGCAGUGGGGAAUAUUGGACAAUGGGCGAAAGCCUGAUCCAGCCAUGCCGCGUGUGUGAAGAAGGUCUUCGGAUUGUAAAGCACUUUAAGUUGGGAGGAAGGGCAUUAACCUAAUACGUUAGUGUUUUGACGUUACCGACAGAAUAAGCACCGGCUAACUUCGUGCCAGCAGCCGCGGUAAUACGAAGGGUGCAAGCGUUAAUCGGAAUUACUGGGCGUAAAGCGCGCGUAGGUGGUUUGUUAAGUUGAAUGUGAAAGCCCCGGGCUCAACCUGGGAACUGCAUCCAAAACUGGCAAGCUAGAGUAUGGCAGAGGGUGGUGGAAUUUCCUGUGUAGCGGUGAAAUGCGUAGAUAUAGGAAGGAACACCAGUGGCGAAGGCGACCACCUGGGCUAAUACUGACACUGAGGUGCGAAAGCGUGGGGAGCAAACAGGAUUAGAUACCCUGGUAGUCCACGCCGUAAACGAUGUCGACUAGCCGUUGGGAUCCUUGAGAUCUUAGUGGCGCAGCUAACGCAUUAAGUCGACCGCCUGGGGAGUACGGCCGCAAGGUUAAAACUCAAAUGAAU
rnacentral:rRNA from 2 species